GGCCUGAGAUUGCGGCUGUGCGUAGGGCUGUUUAACUCUUCCACCCAAUUGAAAUCCGAUCGAAGUCACAGCUUUUUUUUUUUUUUUUAAAUUUCACUUUUAGGUUAAUAUCUAUAUAAACUAUAUUAACAUUUAAAUUUUCUAAUUUAUUUGUGAAUUUACUAAAAAUAUUUUAUUUUUACGAAUAAUCAAUAUUAUUUUGAAGAUAUUUUUAUAUGAAA
rnacentral:lncRNA from 1 species